UCUUGCUUCUUUCGUUCUGUCUCGUUACCUACCACAUGUGAUGUCAAGCCUCCCGAAAUUGCCAUGAAAAGCCUCUAAACCCUCCACAUCCUAGCAAACCUUUGUUUAGCUAUGUUACCUCUUGCUCAACCCUUCUUAUAGUGUUGCUGGUUGUAGGUGCAGUUGCUUCCAUGUGAAAACAUGGAUUCCUUGAGAUAUCACAAUAAUUAUUGCUAUUUAACUCAAUGCAC
rnacentral:lncRNA from 1 species